AAAAGAGCUGAGAGAAGUUUCACCGGGGCCACUUCCCUUUGCUCAGGGUCCGUGUUUAGGCUUCAGAGCUUGAUUCUGCCUUUAGCUUGUUGUAGCUACAUCGCCCUCUACUCUCCCCCAAAGUUAUCAAGAUCCCAUUUCUGCAAGUGAACUGAGGCUGAAGCAUUCCUUUUCCUGCACAGAACAUCACGGUGUCUACCUGCAUGGACACCUACAUCAGCAGAGGUAGGACAGGACCAGACAGACAGAAGGCACGCAAGUCAUCAAAGUAACACUGGGAGAACUGGUGGAUGGUACCCCUUUCUGACACUCCCCUCUCCUGCAUUCUGCCAGGAAAGCACUGCAUAAAUAUAUGCCACUGCCUCAACCUGCAGAUCUUCUUGAAGUUAAAAGGUGUUUUAUUAUCGGUUUAAAUGGGCAAAGAUUUAAGACAGUGCUGAGAACUCUGACAGUCCCACCACUCUUUUAUAUGUAAGUCCUGCUAAGUAUCUUUUCAGACUCUUGCAGACAGCUCAAUGUGUCAAUUUAAAAUGUUUCCCUUCGGAGUGAGACAAUUUUUAUACUUCCUCAGUGCAGAAGGGAGAGGAGGACAGCUUGGCAUUUAUCCUGAAGAUACUAUUGCUGACUGCUGCCUGGGAUCAAAUACAACAAGUGAAUAAUCAAUGUCCUGGAUUGUGCUGAACUUUUACUAUACUCAUAACGCUUUUCCAAAAAUGACCAGUGCAGCAGAUUAAGAUUAUUUUACUCAUAUGUGUAUGCAGGGGAUAUCUCAUUGGGAAAUGCAAAUGAAGUAUUACUCACUACAGUUAACAAUUAACAACCUUUUGCUGAUGGCUGUGAUGAAAUGUCUUAAUGCUUUACAAACCUGCCACAGACACACCUCUUAUAUUCCCUCCCUAGCCAGCUUUAUCUUCUCCUAUUGGCCUUUUAAAUGGUAAGCUCUUUAAUAUGGGAACUUCAUAUUAUUUUGUAUGUCUCCAUUCUUCUUGUGCCGUAGAUACAGUUCUGGCAAUUUGUCGGUGCUACAAUAUGCAUAUAGUAAUAAAAUGAGGUUGUAUUUAUAUAAUAUGGAUCUUUUCUAAAUUGCUGUAACACAGUCAUUAUCAAGAUCCAGCUAAGCCAUAAGGUCCAGAAUUUUGAUCUUCUCUGGCCAAUCUAGUAGUUUUCCACACUUGCUUAAAAAAUUCUUCCUCCGGCAAAGGCAAAAAUUAUGUAGUAUAUAAAUAUUUUUAUAGUCAAAAUCCAUAAAGCCAUUAACCCACAGGAAUGUUUUAGUUGCUAUAUAAUUUUUGGCCUCGAUACAUUAAAAAUUGCUGAUGCAGAUGCAGUCUGGGGAGACA